GGGGAUUGAAGAGGGCACCUAUGGAGACAAGCACCAGCUGAUGUGUGGAAGUGUUGGAUCACUAGGUUGUACGCCUGAACUAAUAAUUACGCUGUGUGUUCACUAACUGGAAUUUAAAUAAAAAUUUCAAAAAUUUUUUUCUUAAAAGAAGUUUUAAUACAUUCUUUUGUUUUGUUGUCAUUACUUUUACAGCUGGAUUAGAUUUAACUAACAUUGUCACAGCUGAAGCAAAAAAGAUCUCUUCCACGGCGGUGCUUUUUCACCGUGGUUCAACGCCCCUGUCUGUAGGAGGGAGGAAGAAAGGUAGAAUUUGUUUACAGAGAAGAAACUUUGGCUCUCAAUGACAUCAACAGAUCUCGACAUGACGACUAGAGGUACUUAAGAAGAGAUGCAUCUGUUUGCUUGCUGUGCCCAGUUGGAACACAAGCAGAGAGUGGCACGCGUCUAGUGCAUGGCCACAAUCACAAUGCCUGGAGUCCUUACUCCUUGUCCAAUUACUUUCUUAACCUCCUGAAAAUAAAAUCGGGAAGGAAGCAAGUCACUUCUAAAAACACACGAGAGGAUUUAUGGUCAAUAUGUGGGAGAUAAAAAUCAAAGGAGUCACUGCUGUACCUCUGCUUCUUCAUCAGUUUAAAAAGAGUGCAUGCAAACAACAGAUCCGCCUGUGCAGAGGAGUUAGCCCGUCAAAAGGAGAUCAAAAGCACUUCUCUUUUUCAGAUUCGCUUGACUGCUUGGUUACUCCAAAGAGGAGAUGCCCCAUUCUGGAUCUGAGCCUCUUGCCUCCCUGUGUCUCAACCCUCAUCAGGAAAUAUCCAUGCUUUGUCCUAGGCUGGAGACCAAAGUUCAGGGGACAGCCUGAGACACUUGCCUUCAGUAACCUCUCCAGCUGCAAAGUUAAUGACGUCUAG
rnacentral:lncRNA from 1 species